rnacentral:lncRNA from 1 species
CUUUGGAUUUUAAAAGGUCCAAAGUCUCUGGGAAGCCCAAACAAACAUGGACUAAAUGUAUUUUAGACCAACUAUUCUCGACUAUGCUAAGAACAGUUACUUAAGAUGUACAACACAAAUAGUACAGGUGUACCAAUUCCUAUGCUACAUAUAACAUUUUGAGGCCCCUUCGGAAUGCAGGAAUUUCAUAGGAAUUAUAUAAGAAUUUUACAGGAUUUCACAGAAAAAACACAGAAAACGGGGAAAAUUUUGUAUGUAGAUGGUAACAUUAUUUUUUUAUGGCUACAUAUGUAGGAAAAGAAUACAAAAGUGAACAUAACUUACAUAAAAAUGGUACAUAAACAUGUUUAAAGAAAGAAUGAAAGUUUAGAUCAAGUUAUCUUGCGAGUAAACAUAUUUUGAUAAGUAAACGAAGAUGAGAAUACAGUAACAAACUCAUAACUUAUUUGUCUUAGAAAAUCUCCAGCAUGGCAAAAAAAAAAAAGACACAAGCUAGCAGGACUGUACUCAGGUUCCCAAAAGUUACAUAUAUGGGCGGUUUAACAAACUCAAAGUAACUUUACCAGCUUCCUUUGAAGCGAAAGGUUUUGUUCUUUUCGUUGUAGUUGUAGUCCCUACUCUAAAGUAGAGAUCAUAUGGUUGUCCAGUCACUCUCAUUUAUGUUAAUUAAUUGAAAGCUUUUCCAAUCUUACUAGCUCUGGCAAAGGGAGGCAGAAAGCUUGAGGCAGCAACUGCAUAACUUAAAAGAGCACCAUCGGUAUGACCCUCAACUAACCUACAAUAAAUAUUUCAAAUCAUUACGAGAAAAAGGAUGUGUCUACUGCAAUUAUUUUUCAUGCUCAGAGAUAGAAUCAAUGGGAACAAGGUCAUAAAUAUAUAAAUAUAAAAAAGAAUUCAGAACAAAUUCUCAGCACAUGAUGAUGAAAUGCAAGAUGCAUUUGGUUAUAUGUUCUGGUGUGUAUAUCCAUUAAUGUUUACGCACAGGAAGUUUGAAGUCUCCAAAUCAAAGUAAAACCUUAUACAGUAUGGGUCCAAAACUUUCAGAAACAGCAACAAGCAACGAUCUGCUUCAUUAUUAUUCUAUUUGAUUAAGAGUGUGUGCUUACUCCACACACAAAGGAAGUUAUGUUAUUCGUUGAUUAAUUCAACUGUACACUAGAUGGCUACAAAAAAU